rnacentral:lncRNA from 1 species
CUUUUUUAGUCCACACCUGAGUUUUGGGAUUCAAGCCCUGAGAGCUCCCUGACUCUGUUAUUGUGUCCAGAUUAAUCCACAGUCACGCCUUGUCUUUCAGCUGCUAGCUGCUGCCUCUCAGCUCAGCUGCAGCACUUGUGUGACGUCUCUUUUGACAUCCCACUGCAAAGCCAGGGGGUUAUUUUUAAUUGCCAGUGGUUUUAACUUACCUGCUCGAAUGUACGCUGCACAGGCUUGAGUCACUCGCACAUACUUCUCAGCCUAGAUCAGGCAACUGAGUGGAGACAGCUCCUCAAAAUGCCUCUCUGCUGUGACUGCCUGCGAGUCCUCCCUCUUCUUUUCAGUACAAAGUCAAGCACUAACAGCCUAAACCACUGCAGGAGAUGCUUUGAGUUAAACUGCUAGCCUUACACUGAAACGGGCAAAAAAUCCUCACUUAUACCUGCUCCUUACCACCUCUGAAUCGUUAAUUACUGCCUCUCAGUCUGAUUUUCCUCACGGCAGGCUGCUGCUGCUCAUGCUGCAUACAUAGCAAAGAGUGGGCUCCCUGGGAGAUGCCAGCUGGGGGCUGCAGGGCAGUGAAGCCAGGGUUGAAGAGUAGCAGUAGGGAUGGCUGGUAAGCUGGGUUACAAAUCUGGGCUCAAACUGGACUUAAAGGACAUUUUAGGAACUUUCUGUCAUGCUGUACCAAAACCGAUGUGAAACACUUAAUUCACAUAGCCCAGGCAGAUCUGCAGUGCAGUGUGAGAGAUACAUCUGGGAAAAAACUUGGGCAUACCAAACUUACAGCAGCCAUUAUACGAGUGCUGCUGCUGGAAAGCUCGUAGGGCAACUGCAUAUGGAUGACCCUGCUGCCUGGAAAAAUGUGCUGUGAAACUGCUGUAUUGUGCUGGAGGUGAUUCCUGAGCCACAGACGGACCCUGACAGCCUUUGUAAAGUGAUAUGAAGCAAAAUACCUGUGAGAGCAAGGAAAUCAGUCUGUGCUGAUUAAUGCCAGUGUUGCUGAUAUUGAUGGUUUAGCUGCCUGUACAAAACAAAUGUGGCUAAUCAGUUCAUCUUGAAAUAACUUGUACUAGUGAAUAAAGGAAGUUGUUGCCUAAUCA